rnacentral:rRNA from 1 species
UACGUAGGGGGCAAGCGUUGUCCGGAAUCAUUGGGCGUAAAGAGCUCGUAGGCGGCUCAGUAAGUCGGGUGUGAAACCUCCAGGCUCAACCUGGAGACGCCACCCGAUACUGCUGUGGCUAGAGUCCAGUAGGGGAGUGUGGAAUUCCCGGUGUAGCGGUGAAAUGCGCAGAUAUCGGGAGGAACACCAGCGGCGAAGGCGGCACUCUGGGCUGGUACUGACGCUGAGGAGCGAAAGCGUG